UGGGGAAUAUUGCACAAUGGAGGAAACUCUGAUGCAGCGACGCCGCGUGAGUGAAGAAGUAAUUCGUUAUGUAAAGCUCUAUCAGCAGGGAAGAUAGUGACGGUACCUGACUAAGAAGCUCCGGCUAAAUACGUGCCAGCAGCCGCGGUAAUACGUAUGGAGCAAGCGUUAUCCGGAUUUACUGGGUGUAAAGGGAGUGUAGGUGGCAUCACAAGUCAGAAGUGAAAGCCCGGGGCUCAACCCCGGGACUGCUUUUGAAACUGUGGAGCUAGAGUGCAGGAGGGGCAAGUGGAAUUCCUAGUGUAGCGGUGAAAUGCGUAGAUAUUAGGAGGAACACCAGUGGCGAAGGCGGCUUGCUGGACUGUAACUGACACUGAGGCUCGAAAGCGUGGGGAGCAAACAGGA
rnacentral:rRNA from 1 species